UUUACUUUUGUCUCAAGUUUUCUUUUUGCUUUUGAAUUUUUAUUCAUUUUUGUUACCCUUGGUGAUCUUGGGCUCGAACUUGAAUUGUGCAUCUUACACCAACAUGUCUACUACAGAGUUUAUGAAAAGACAACAAAGCGAUUUUCUUCAUCACAUGGACAAUCAAAAUUGUAACACAAGACUAGUACAGACAACAAGUUCUAUAUCAUUUUGGAAACCUUUCGCUAUGAACACUUAAGGUUGUAGAGAACUGGAGAUGACGCCGUGUAGUUUCAAAGAAUUAGCAAGGAUUUUCAUCUUUGUCACUACAUUGAGACUUGGAAAACUUGAAGUUAUGCAUGUACACCCAGGUAAACCCAUGGCGCCAGGUUUUACAAGAAAGAAAAAGUUGAGUUGGCACCAAGUGGUCACUAAACGAAUUUGAAAUGUUUUUCUCACCAACUAAGCCAAUUUUAUCCCAGGACCGCAUUUUAUUCGAGGGAUUAUUUGCCGAUAGGUUAUAGUAAGUUUACUUUGUCCUUGUCUCCGCUUUUCGUGGCGUUUGAAUCAAUAAUACCAUGUAACUUGGCAAACAAGUUGAAUAAAAAAACACAACAUUAUCAAUUAUGUUUUCCAGACUCCGACGGUAGAGAGGGGAAUAGCAAAGGUCGUUCAUGGAAUAAGUGAUAAGUUACACAGCAUUAGGGAACUCUAGAAGAAAAGCACUCGUCCAAUCUAUAGUAAUCAACAGUGUUACGAGGAUGUAUUGGCAUCCAAACGUAGCUUACGAUUCAAAGGGUAUAUGAGCAUUAUUACAUUUUCACAUUUCAGGUACAGGAAGAAGAAUUGUCUUACGCGGGCACCUGGAAGUACACACGCUUGUUAAACAUUUCAAACACUCAGGUUUUCAGCGCGAACUCAUGUACUCAAACGAACAAGGAGAAAGUGAAAGA